GGAGGGCAGACGGCGGGCGUGGUUGCGUUGGUCGCGUGCGACUGCAUUCGUCGGGCCGAGCUCUACGUCUUAUAGCCGCUUUCUGCAAGAGGUCUCCUGCUGAGAUGGGUCCAGAGAUGCUGCAGUCAUCAGAAAUAUCUCAGACAUCAUCUCCUGAGAUGAGCACAGUGGCUGCCAGCACUGAAGUGCCUAGGAGACGGAGGCUGAAAGUGCUGCACAAACCGCAUGUUCCGGAUUGCAAACCCCAACAGAAGAACAAAUCUGUGGCCAGUGCUGACAGAAGGGCUUCAAAAAGGAGAUGCUCCUCUGAUGUGGUUGAUUCAGUGUCUGACUCUAUCUACUUCAAAACUACCAAGAAGAUGAAGAGGUAUCAAGAAGCUCCAUGCAAGAACCCUGAAAUGGAGCGCUGUAGGCUAAAUGCAAUAAAUGCCAAAAUCAAUAGAGACAGGAAAAAGGAAGAGCUGAAGAACUUGAAUGAGAGGUGUGAAGCUCUUGCCAGUGAAAACAGGCAGCUGGACAACACUAACCAAGAUCUUGCAGGGUAGAUUGCAGGCUGCUGAAGAGGAGAUUGCCUUCCUGCGGAGUGCACUGCUGAACCGCUCUGCCCCUGCCCUGCCUGCCCUGGAUGAAAUCUUGAAGUCUGUGUUUGAAAAGAACUCUGCACCUGCUGGAGGUUGAUGGCUGCUGAGGUUAUCAGCACAUCUCCAUGCAAGCUGCCAUGGAACCAUCAUAUUUAUAACAGCUCGCCCAUGCCUGCUACCUCAGAGGAUGACGGACGGACAGAGGUAGUAUCCCCGAGGUGACCGGUCAUGGAUGCUCUCACUUUGAAAGUCACAUGUUUGCCCUUCAGAGGGAGCUAUUUGCUCUAUUGUCAAAGUUUUGGUAAGCAUGGGGCUCUCAAUGAGAUAUUCAGUUACUGGUGAAGUGCAGCACUGGCUGUGAUAUUUGUAUUGUGAUGGUUGUGUGUAAUACAAUGUAAGAGAAUGUG